AAAGAUAAUUAGGUAUAAAAUAAAGCUGCUAACUUUAUUCUGAGCAAGUCGAUUUGUUCUAUCUUUU
rnacentral:tRNA from 1 species